rnacentral:misc_RNA from 1 species
AACAAGGCGUACCUGCGGACCUGCGGAGGGAUCAUUGCCGAGUUUACAACUCCCAAACCCCUGUGAACAUACCACUUGUUGCCUCGGCGGAUCAGCCCGCUCCCGGUAAAACGGGACGGCCCGCCAGAGGACCCCUAAACUCUGUUUCUAUAUGUAACUUCUGAGUAAAACCAUAAAUAAAUCAAAACUUUCAACAACGGAUCU